CAAGAUGAGCUCCAUCGCCUCCGGCUCCAUGUCCCGCCGCCGCCCGCCUUCUCGUUUGUUUGACUCGCCGCUGAGGCCUCCUUCCGGCGAGAGGUCGAUCUGCCGUUCCGAGAUGCUAUUUCUAAGUCUAUUACUCUUGAGGUGAUUGCCAAAAUAAUGCAAGACAGAGGUUCAAGAUUACAGGCAGUUCCUGCCAGGACCUACCGAAGGAAAUGAUGAG